rnacentral:tRNA from 1 species
GGCAGUGUAGCAUAGUGGUAAUGAGCAGGGCUUGUAACUGAAAGGUUGCUGGUUCGAUUCCCUGCUGGGACACUGCCG